UAUCUUUUUGCUUCUUUUCAUUUUCAAGCCUUAAAACAUUUGAACGUGGAGCAAAUACUAUUUUAUUGGGUUUAUUUCCUAAUUUUCUGGGUUUAUGAUUUAUACAUAGUGUAUGAUAUGUUCUUAAUGCUGAUUUCACUGAAGAGAUUGAGGGCCUUUUGUUGUCCGACUCAUCUUUUAUAAUAGAUGUGCCUAAGUUGUGUUCAUUCGUAUAUAACAUUCAUAAUCUAUCAUACAACUUGUACCCAAGUUGAUUGCCAUCUUACUUUGGUACCAUAUUAAUACCAAGAUCUUUUUAUUUCUUACAUGACAAGGACAUUGAAAAGUUAAAGCUCUCAUAAAUGUCCUGUAGAGAAGGGAUCAUUGAAGUAGCUAAAUGCUGUAUUUUACAAGAGUGAGACUAGGAACUACCCCAAGGGAAUACAAUGUGCAGAUUAUGGGUUCCAUUUAUUGACUGUCCACGGGCGAGUGGGUUUCAUUUAUGUUUCUACUCAAUAUCGCGCUUUAUUGUGUGAUUAUUUGAAUGAUGGUUAUUAGUUUCUGCUGACUGAUAUUAGGUCGAGCUCAAUUUCUAUGAUAUCAAUGGCUCCUCAACUGCCAACGCAGUUUCUUGUUCAGACCCAGUAUGUAGUACUAUGGUUCCACCAGCAUCGUCUCACUGCUCAGCUGAAAGUAAACAUUGCGGUUACUCGUUUCAAUAUGGUGAUGGAAGUGGGACCUCAGGGUUUUAUGUGUCUACUAUGAUGUACUUUUAUAUGAUCUAGGGAGCUCUAUGAACGCUAAUUCACCUGCGUCUAUCGUUUUCAGGUGAGGGGUAUUUUUCUGUUCUAAUUUGUUUACAAUGGUAAUCUAUCUUGCUAACUUUUUUGUAAAGGAUAAAUAUGUAUACGAAACUGGUACAUUGCAAAAUAAAUAGUCUACCCUUUAGCAAAUUCAGUUUAUAUCUGAACUUACUUUGAAGGAGAAAUUUUUCCUAUCUAUGCUUUUUCUGAAUGUUAAUGUCUACUCUCCUUGGUUUUCUGUCUUUUACAUUUUUCUUUGUGCUUGUAUGUUUUGAUUUUAAAUCUAUGGUUCUGGUGCAGAUGCAACAAUUAUCAAUCUGGAGAUUUGAUCAAUUCAGAACGUGCUCUUGAUGGGAUCUUUGGUUUUGGUCAGCAGGGCUUGUCCUUUGUAUCUCAAUUUUCUUCCAGGGUAAUAACACCUCAACCAUUUUCCCAUUUUUGAAAGGAGGAGGAAAUGGUGGGGUUAUUCUGGUGCUUGUAAGAUUUUGGGCCCAAGUAUUGCGUAUGGUCCACUUGUGCCAUCAUAGGAGGAGAGGAUGCUGCCAUUGUCAGAUACAUGUACACAAGGAUGACUGAAAUCACUAGAGAACUACUAGGAAAGAUACUGGAAUCACUUCACAGUUAGUGGAACUAUUGAGGUAGUGGAUGUAGACAGUGCAAGUGAUGCAAGUGAUGCAAGUGAAGGGACGAUGUAACUCUCAGAAUCACUGAACUACCAGUUCGGAAGUGGACUCAAGAUUAUAAGGAAUUUUAAAGAGAGACAGAGAUCAAAUGAUGUAGCAAAAUUAAAUGAUGCGGCGAAUAUUCGGUGCUAAGGAGUUCUUUGAGAUUUUUCAAAGAUGCUUCUGAUCAGGCCAUGAAGCUUGAAACAUAAUUCCACAAAAGAUCGUGGCUCCCUUGUGGAAAGAGCUUAAUCCUGAAGAUUGGCAUCUCGUGCUAUUUUCAGAUUUUGACUUGACUUGCGCAGUUGUUGAUUCGUCUGCAAUAUUAGCUGAAAUUGCAAUUGCAACAGCAACAGCUCUACAAAGCCUUAUAUAUCAGAGUCGUAUGUUGCCACAAAGUUAGCCGAGGAACUAUCAUGACUGUUAUUUCUCCUUUCUCCUAUUAGGCCGGUCUUUUUUAAUUUUUCUAAACUUAGCCAUGUAAAUUUUUUAUGCUUAGCCAUGAAUUCUAUAUAUGUAAACUACAUCAAGUAAUUAGUCAUGUUUAUUAUCA